AGUGGAUGGGGAGCAACCUAGUUGUGCGUGUGUAAAGGUAGUGCCAAGAAAAGCGGUGAUCAUGAUGAAAAUCAAUUCCCGGUACCCGAAACCGACACAGGUGGGCAAGUAGAGAAUACUAAGGGGCGCGAGGUAACUCUCUCCAAGGAACUCGGCAAAAUGACCCCGUAACUUAGGGAGAAGGGGUGCCACCGAGAGGUGGUCGCAGUGAAGAGGCCCAGGCGACUGUUUAGCAAAAACAUAGGUCUCUGCAAACUCGAAAGAGGAGGUAUAGGGGCUGACGCCUGCCCAGUGCCGGAAGGUUAAAGAAGUUGGUCAGUCUUAGGAUGAAGCUAGCGACUGAAGCCCCGGUGAACGGCGGCCGUAACUAUAACGGUCCUAAGGUAGCGAAAUUCCUUGUCGGGUAAGUUCCGACCCGCACGAAAGGCGUAACGAUCUGGGCGCUGUCUCGGAGAGAGGCUCGGCGAAAUAGGAUUGUCUGUGAAGAUACGGACUACCUGCAUUUGGACAGAAAGACCCUAUGAAGCUUUACUAUAGCUUGGAAUUGUGUUCGGGCUUCCUGUGCGCAGGAUAGGUGGGAGGCGUAGAAGGUAUUCUUGUGGGGAUACUGGAGCCAACGGUGAGAUACCACUCUCAGGAGGCUAGAAUUCUAACUUAAUUAAGGACAGUUUCAGGUGGGUAGUUUGACUGGGGCGGUCGCCUCCAAAAAGGUAACGGAGGCGUACAAAGGUUCCCUCAGACUGGUUGGAAAUCAGUCGAAGAGUGCAAAGGCAGAAGGGAGCUUGACUGCGAGAAGUACAGUUCGAGCAGGGUGGAAACACGGUCUUAGUGAUCCGACGGUGCUGUGUGGAAGGGCCGUCGCUCAACGGAUAAAAGUUACUCUAGGAUAACAGGCUGAUCUCCCCCAAGAGUUCACAUCGACGGGGAGGUUUGGCACCUCGAUGUCGGCUCAUCGCAACCUGGGGCGGAAGUACGUCCCAAGGGUUGGGCUGUUCGCCCAUUAAAGCGGUACGUGAGCUGGGUUCAGAACGUCGUGAGACAGUUCGGUCCAUAUCCGAUGUAGGCGUGAGAAUAUUGAGAGGAGCCUUCCUUAGUACGAGAGGACCGGGAAGGACGCACCGCUGGUGUACCUGUUAUGAUGCCAAUUGUAAACGCAGGGUAGCCAAGUGCGGAGAGGAUAACCGCUGAAAGCAUCUAAGUGGGAAGCCACCUCAAGAUGAGUAUUCUGGUGUAAGGUCACGGGAAGACGACCCGUAAAUAGGCACGAGGUGGAAGUGCAGAGAUGUAUGAAGCCGAAGUGUACUAAUAGACCGUCGGC
rnacentral:rRNA from 1 species